rnacentral:rRNA from 1 species
UACGUAGGUGACAAGCGUUGUCCGGAUUUACUGGGCGUAAAGAGCGCGCAGGCGGUCGAUCAAGUCGAGUGUGAAAGCCCCCGGCUCAACUGGGGAGGGUCAUUCGAUACUGAUCGACUCGAAGGCAGGAGAGGGUAGUGGAAUUCCCGGUGUAGUGGUGAAAUGCGUAGAUAUCGGGAGGAACACCAGUGGCGAAGGCGGCGCUCUGGACCGAGACUGACGCUGAGGCGCGAAAGCGUGGGGAGCAAACAGG